ACCGCCCAAGUAUUGCUUUUGUUAACCCUGUAAGUCUUGCCUUAUUGUAAUAAGUAUAAAAGAUCGCCUCACCCUUGAGGGGGGGCCAUUUUGCCUUUUGCUGGCUUUAUGGUCUUUGCUCAAGCAAAUAAACAGCUGUCUUUCUUUACCCGCGUUGUCUGUCUAUUAAAUUACAGCUAGACAAUGAACCUUAGGGAGGUUUCUCCCACCACAGUGACAGCGAUCAUCGCCUGCUGGAAUUCACCAUCCAGCACAAGGUGGCAAAAGCCUGGAGCAAGGCAGCAGCCCUGGACUUCAGAAGGGUGGAUUUCAAUGAGCCCAUGCCUUCUGGUGCCUUGUGAGCUGAGAGCUGGCCAGCUGUGUCGAUCCUUAAAGAUACCGGGGUCUCUCACCUGCCACAUCUUUGAGGUGAAAUAGAUAAAGGGAGAAAGAUAUUAUCUCUGCCUUCAUCAGCCUCUUAAUGACCACACACAGCAUUAUCAGACCUGGGGAUCUGCCUCCCUUAUACUCUGCCUAGCAACAACCUGAUGGUGCAUGGUUACUUCCAGUUUGUUGCUGCUCCAAUUCCAAUCCUCAGCAUCCAGCUCCCAUUGCUGCUGCUCUAGUGAGUAUGCUGGGUCCUCUUGGUGUCUCUAGUGGACAACUGUCCUGAAUCAGGCUUCCACCAGUUGCCCCUGCUGGCGCAACCUGUCUUCCAGCACAGCAUUUGCCAGUGUGGGGAACUCACUUCCUGUUGUGCUACUCCAUGUCUGCUUUAAGCCAGCAUUCUGGUUCUAGUGAGUGAAUCAGCAUCGGCAAGCACUUAUAAGACACUCCCACACCAACACCAGAUGUUCUUCAACCAGUGCCACCCCCGCAGCCAUCUGCAGGUGUGACCAUUGCUCUGGUGUCUUGGGUAAGCUUCUUUCAGUGGCAGCUUCUUUCUGCCUGCUAGACCCCCCAUUUCUGCUCUGCUCUGCUCUACACCAAGGAACCCCUGGCCUGCAUCCAACUUUCAGCCUCCAGCCAGGCAAGUCAUGCCUCCCACACCAUCCUCCCAUCCACCACCAUCUCCUGCAGCCCCCGUGUUUGGCGGAGCUGCUGCUGUAAGAGAAGCCAGACCCCAGGAUAGGCUAAGCAGUGCAGGCCUUGCAUGAGGAUGCAACUGGGCUCAGCACCACCCACAGUCUCCCUUUGGGGCACAGCUGCUCUUAGAAUAUAAAGCCUGCUUGUCAUAGAUUUUUUCCAGACUACAAAUGGUGGGCUUGUACUUGCCCAGAUGCAUGUGUGCAAAGAUUUCACACCUGGGUAACUGCCAUGUAGGCAUAUAAAUUAAAAUAUCUGUUGUCUCCCUGCUUCCCUGGCAUUAGCUUGGCAGGGACUUCUGGGAGUGCUCCCCUUAGAGUGCCUGGGUCAAGAUGAUGGGGAGAGUUCUGGGUCAAGGGAAAUUGAGAGUAGGAAUCAUUUGAGGUAAGGGGGUGGCUACAGGGCUCAGGAAGACGUAGAAAAGAUGGAUAUGUGUCUCAGUGCAAAGAACUGUUAAGACCACCUGUGGCCCAUUUCCAAGAGUCAUUAGGGAUAAGGAGUUAUAGCUGUAGAGUCAGGCACUGCAGAAUGCACACAGACACCAGAAAAAGAGCAACCCUGCUUCUGGCACCAUGAAGGAAACAUACCUAUUCCACUCUCUGGGAGUGUGAGCCCAUAUAAGAUUCUCAAACAGCUGAAGGGCAUAGAACAUGGAGAUUGAGAGACAGCCUUCCCCAAGUAGUUGAUGCACAACAAAGAAUACCUCUCAUCCUGCACUUUCUAAGUAGCAUCUCCAGUAUCUGCUUAAAGGGACCUAACCACAGUCAUCCAGGAUACCUUAAGGGCAAAAAAAGAAGCAUACAGGAAGUGGAAGCAGGGGGUAGCUAGCAAGGAGUAGUAUGCUUCCUUGGCCUGCACCUGCAGGGAGUCAGUCAGGAAGGCCAAGGCAGCUCUAGAACUCAGGCUAGUGGCAGGGAUUAAGGACAAUAAAAAAUCCUUCUUUAGGUACAUUGGGAGCAAAAAGAGGGUGCAGGGUAGCAUAGCCUCAGGGAUUUAAUAAGGACAAGUGCAAGGUGCUGCAUCUAGGGAGAAAGAACUGCCAUCAUACCUAUAGGCUGGGGGGCAACCUUCUCAGCACCACUGAGGCAAAAAAAGAUCUUGGAAUCACCGUUGACUCCAGGAUGAACACGAGUCAUCAAUGUGAUGAAGUAGUCGGCAGAGCCAAUCGCAUCCAUAGGUGCCACCACCCGACCAUCGCAUCCAUAGGUGGGGGGGGCCAAUCGCAUCCAUAGGUGCCUCACAAACAGGUCCAGGGAGGUGAUUCUCCCCCUAUAGGCGGCACUGGUCAGGCCACAGCUGGAGUACUGUGUCCAGUUCUGGAUGCCGCAGUUCAAGUGGGAUGCAGACAACACCAAGAGGGUCCAAAGAAGAGCCACUCAUCUGAUUGGAGGCCUGCAGGGAAGGCCCUACAAGGAAAGGCUAAGGGACCUUAACCUCUUCAGCCUUUCCAAGAGAAGGCUGAGAGAGGACCUUGUGGUGGAGUACAAGUUCAUAAGGGGAGAGCAACACGAAGUAGGCGAUGAUCUGUAUAACAGGGCACCCCCUGGAACAACAAGGAACAAUGGUUAUAAGCUACUGGAGAGUAGAUUUUGACUGGACAUUAGAAAAAAGUUCUUCAUGGUCAGGGUUGCCAGGAUCUGGAAUGGGCUUCCAAGGGAGGUGGUGCUCGCCCCAUCCUUGGGGGUCUUCAAGAGGAGACAGGACUAGUACCUGGCUGGGAUCACAUGACCCCAGGUUUGGUAACCCUUUUCUUGCCUGCCAAGGGCAGGGGUCAGACUAGAUGGCCCACUCAGGUCCCUUCCAACCCUAGAAUCUAUAAAUCUAUGACUGGAGACUUCCCACUUCCAUAGAAGUAGUUGAAUCAAGUAAGCUGCAAUGGAGUGGGCCAGGGAGGAAAAAACAAAGGAAAGGGGUGCUGUGACAUCUCCCACACAGCUCAAAAUUUGCUUCCCAAAACCUGGAGGUCAGAAACAAUUCUGGGGCCUAUCAUCUGAGGGCAUGUGGAGGAGAACAGGGUCAUGGUGACCACCCCAAUCAUUGCUUUAAAUCUAGGUAGCACCUGUAGUUGCUUCCUAUUCUCAGGAGGGCAAAGUAUAGAACAAACUGCUCCAAGCUAUCCGAUCAGAUUAGAAAGCCAGUUUCUCUGUUUCUUGACACUUACCUGUAAACAGCGGGAUUUCACUUCUGUAAUCCAUUGUAGGCAAUAGUCUGUCUGUAUUUAUAUUAUUGUAGACUGCCCAAAUACCCCUCUAAAGUCUGACCCAGAACUCAGUAGCACUGCCUGCCUUCUUUUUUGGCACAAGUUACUCCUGUGGGACUUAAUCCUUAGAGGUAAAUUUUUGGAAGUACAAAAAAUAUAAAACAAUUAUACAAUUAUAAACUAUUCUAUUCUGUUCUCAGCCUGUGUAGGUUAGUCCUGGCAUGGAGGGAUUAGCUCCAUCCUGGCACUUGAACCUGAAUCAUUGACUGUGUCUACAUGAGAUACUAAUGUGCAUUUGACACUGCAUUUAUUUAUUACUUGUAUAAACAAGUACUAAAUACAUGUCCAGUAACCUGAGUUACUAUGCAGUCACACUGGCAAGUGCCUUUUUUGUGAUGCUGUGGCAGAUUAUCCUAAUAUGGCACCCAGUGCAGUAGCAUUGCAUCAUGAUUUUUGCCAUGUGGUGUUAAUGAGCAGUAAUAUUAGGCUACUGUGCAGUCAGCCUCUCAUGUAGAUGAGCCCACUGUGCAGCAAAGUACCCAUUAUUUAUGUGGCCAAAAAUUUUUUAAAGUAGGUAGGCCAGUAGGCUGGGAAAGUAAAACCUUGUUUUUUAAUUGCUUUUA